rnacentral:lncRNA from 1 species
CUCAGGGCAGCAGUUCUGGUGAAGGGGUAAGGAGAAUCCCCAGAAAGCUUCAUGGUCACACCACGUCUGGGAUGCUCAGCAGCUGCCCUGGCUGGGAUCUAACAACGAGAAGCCAGCAGACCUCACAGGGCUAUUCCAAGACUGAAACUGAAGGGAAUCUAAGUUCAGCAAAACAAUUGGAACAGGAUGUGCAUCUUGAAGAGGCCGAGGGGAUGAAUAUACUAAAUAUGCCACGCUGUCUGCACCGUGCCAGGUAGUCUACAUGUGUCAACAAUUUAAUGUGCACUAUGAUACAAGAAGGUAAAGAAAGAAGAAGAAAAUAUUGGUGUAUUUCUUUACAACUUUGGAGUAGAAAAGGCCAUUCUAAACCAAAUCUCAAAAUCAGGAAGCCAAGAAUUUUUUUUUUUAAAAAGACUGAUUAAAUAGGCUGGAUAAAAAUGAAAAAAUGCAACAUGGCAAAAGACACCACAAACAAAUAUACGGACAAAUGACAAAUUAAGAUAAAGCAUUUAAAGUUUAUAGUAGAGACAAUAUUCUAAAAGCCCCUCCAUGCCAUCCUCAAUACUUUACAAGCCACUAGAAAUUGAGAAG